GUCUCCCUGUUGCGCGAUGGAUAGCGCAUUAGACUUCUAAUCCUAAAGUUAUGGGUUCGAAUCCCACCUGAGAUG